AGAAACAAUGCACACACUCUCUCUCUCUUUUCUCUCUUUUUCUCUCUUUUUCUCUUAUCUCCCCUUGUUAUCUCCUCUUGUUCAUGCUAGUUUUCUUCUCUCUUACUGAGAAACCUGGCUAAUUGUUUCUUUAGAUUUUUUGGAAAUUUCUAAAUAAUUUUUUAUUUUUGUUUCCUUUUUUUUUUCCUGUGGAGAUUAUGAUCAAAACGGUUUACCUAAAGUUUGUGAUAAUGAUGAGGUCAUGAACAGUCAAUAUUCUGGUUCUAGCCCAGAUAUCUGAAAGGGAGAGCCCAUUAGCGAUUGGGUUCAUAACAAGGAGGGUGUUUUCGUCAUUUUCUUACGAAUGGAUGCUGCCCUAAAUUCGUUCGCUGUAUAUAGUCGGUGACCGUGCGUGCCGUCAUGUAAAAUUGAUUAUAUUUCUUUUUUUCAAAUUUUCUGGUCGAAAUUGAUUACUUUACUUCAUUUUUUUACGAAUUGGACUACAUAUCUAUUA